rnacentral:snRNA from 1 species
GUGCUUGUUUCCGCCGCAUAUAUGCUAAAACCGGAGCAAUGCAGGGAAGACUAGCAUGGUCCCUAUGUAAGGAUAACGUGCAAAUUUGUGAAGCCUUCUAUGGAUCU